rnacentral:tRNA from 1 species
CACCGGGUGACUGAAAGUAAGUGUAGGUCUUUUAAACCUAUAAUAGUAAUUAACGUCUACUCCCUGUGG